CUGUGGUCAGUGGGGCGGGCUUCAAAC
rnacentral:tRNA from 16 species